AGGGUUGCGGCUCUGUGGUUAGGACAUCUGCUUUGCAUGCAGAAGGCCCCAGGUUCAAUCCCCGGCAUCUCCU